AGUGAACGCUGGCGGUAGGCCUAACACAUGCAAGUCGAACGGCAGCACAGUAAGAGCUUGCUCUUACGGGUGGCGAGUGGCGGACGGGUGAGGAAUACAUCGGAAUCUACUUUUUCGUGAGGGAUAACGUAGGGAAACUUACGCUAAUACCGCAUACGACCUACGGGUGAAAGCAGGGGAUCUUCGGACCUUGCGCGAUUGAAUGAGCCGAUGUCGGAUUAGCUAGUUGGCGGGGUAAAGGCCCACCAAGGCGACGAUCCGUAGCUGGUCUGAGAGGAUGAUCAGCCACACUGGAACUAAGACACGGUCCAGACUCCUACGGGAGGCAGCAGUGGGGAAUAUUGGACAAUGGGCGCAAGCCUGAUCCAGCCAUACCGCGUGGGUGAAGAAGGCCUUCGGGUUGUAAAGCCCUUUUGUUGGGAAAGAAAAGCAGCAGGUUAAUACCCCGCUGUUCUGACGGUACCCAAAGAAUAAGCACCGGCUAACUUCGUG
rnacentral:rRNA from 1 species